rnacentral:rRNA from 1 species
UCAUACAGGGGAAUAACAGUUAGAAAUGGCUGCUAAUGCCGCAUAAGCGCACAGGACCGCAUGGUCUGGUGUGAAAAACUCCGGUGGUAUGAGAUGGACCCGCGUCUGAUUAGGUAGUUGGCGGGGUAACGGCCCACCAAGCCGACGAUCAGUAGCCGACCUGAGAGGGUGACCGGCCACAUUGGGACUGAGACACGGCCCAGACUCCUACGGGAGGCAGCAGUGGGGAAUAUUGCACAAUGGAGGAAACUCUGAUGCAGCGACGCCGCGUGAAGGAAGAAGUAUCUCGGUAUGUAAACUUCUAUCAGCAGGGAAGAAAAUGACGGUACCUGACUAAGAAGCCCCGGCUAACUACGUGCCAGCAGCCGCGGUAAUACGUAGGGGGCAAGCGUUAUCCGGAUUUACUGGGUGU